rnacentral:rRNA from 1 species
ACACGUGAUUCAGAGUUUGAUCCUGGCUCAGAUUGAACGCUGGCGGCAGGCCUAACACAUGCAAGUCGAGCGGAUGACGGAGCUUUGCUCCUUGAUUCAGCGGCGGACGGGUGAGUAAUGCCUAGGAAUCUGCCUGGUAGUGGGGGACAACGUUUCGAAAGGAACGCUAAUACCGCAUACGUCCUACGGGAGAAAGCAGGGGACCUUCGGGCCUUGCGCUAUCAGAUGAGCCUAGGUCGGAUUAGCUAGUUGGUGGGGUAAUGGCUCACCAAGGCGACGAUCCGUAACUGGUCUGAGAGGAUGAUCAGUCACACUGGAACUGAGACACGGUCCAG